rnacentral:rRNA from 1 species
UACAGAGGUCUCAAGCGUUGUUCGGAUUCAUUGGGCGUAAAGGGUGCGUAGGUGGCGCGGUAAGUCGGGUGUGAAAUUUCGGAGCUUAACUCCGAAACUGCAUUCGAUACUGCCGUGCUUGAGGACUGGAGAGGAGACUGGAAUUUACGGUGUAGCAGUGAAAUGCGUAGAGAUCGUAAGGAAGACCAGUGGCGGAGGCGGGUCUCUGGACAGUUCCUGACACUGAGGCACGAAGGCCAGGGGAGCAAACGGG